rnacentral:rRNA from 1 species
UUUUCCUACGGGACGCAGCAGUGGGGAAUAUUGCACAAUGGGGGAAACCCUGAUGCAGCAACGCCGCGUGAGUGAGGAAGUAUUUCGGUAUGUAAAGAUCUAUCAGCAGGGAAUAGAAAAGAAGGUACCUGAAAAAGAAGCCCCGGCUAACUACGUGCCAGCAGCCGCGGUAAUACGUAGGGGGCAAGCGUUAUCCGGAUUUACUGGGUGUAAAGGGAGCGCAGGCGGCGCGUUAAGCCUGGUGUGAAAGCCCGCGGCCCAACCGCGGGACUGCAUUGGGAACUGGCGCGCUGGAGUGCCGGGGG